UACGAAGGGGGCUAGCGUUGCUCGGAAUUAUUGGGCGUAAAGAGCUCGUAGGCGGUUUGUCGCGUCUGCCGUGAAAGUCCGGGGCUUAACUCCGGAUCUGCGGUGGGUACGGGCAGACUAGAGUGCAGUAGGGGAGACUGGAAUUCCUGGUGUAGCGGUGAAAUGCGCAGAUAUCAGGAGGAACACCGAUGGCGAAGGCAGGUCUCUGGGCUGUAACUGACGCUGAGGAGCGAAAGCAUGGGGAGCGAACAGG
rnacentral:rRNA from 1 species